rnacentral:tRNA from 1 species
AGGGAAUUAGCUCAAAUGGUAGAGCGCUCGCUUAGCAUGCGAGAAGUACCGGGAUUGAUACCAGCAUUCUCCA